rnacentral:rRNA from 1 species
AUUCCAAUCGAACUCGGAGAUAGCUGGUUCUCCCCGAAAUAGCUUUAGGGCUAGCCUCAUAUUAGAUACCCGGAGGUAAAGCACUGAAUGGCCUAGCGCCCGAGAGGGUAGCGAAGCCUAUCAAACUAAGAAUGCCGGAGUAUUGAUGUAUGGGAGUCAGACAGUGUGAGAUAAAUCUCAUUGUCAAAAGGGAAACAGCCCAGAUCUACAGCUAAGGUCCCAAAUUGUAUCUAAGUGGAAAACGAUGUGGAAAUACGCAGACAACCAGGAUGUUGGCUCAGAAGCAGCCACUCAUUUAAAGAGUGCGUAAUAGCUCACUGGUCGAGAGACCCUGCGCCGAAGAUUCCCGGGGCUAAAGUACGAAACCGAAGCUGUGGCUGUAUACGUAAAGUAUACGGGGUAGGGGAGCGUUCCCAUAGGGUAGAAGUCGAACUGGAAGGUUCGGUGGACUUGUGGGAAGUGAGAAUGUUGGUAUGAGUAGCGAAAAGAAAGGUGAGAAUCCUUUCCACCGAAAGCAUAAGGAUUCCUGAGCAACGAUCGUCGUCUCAGGGUAAGUCGGGACCUAAUCCGAGGCAGAGAGCGUAGGAGAUGGACAACUGGUUGAUAUUCCAGUACCGGUAGUAAUUGUUUGAGCAAUGGAGUGACACAGAAGGGCAGGCAAGCAUGCGAAUGGAAGAGCAUGUGUAAGCGUGUAGGGUGGUGCAUAGGCAAAUCCGUGCACUGAAAGCCUGAGGCGUGAUGCGGAGUGAGCAGAGAUGCGAGCGAAGUUGUUGACCCCACACUGUCGAGAAAAGCUUCUAGUGAGAGAGCUACCGCCCGUACCGUAAACCGACACAGGUAUGCGGGGAGAGAAUCCUAAGGUGCGCGGGAGAACCCUCGUUAAGGAACUCGGCAAAAUGUACCCGUAACUUCGGGAUAAGGGUAGCCACUGUUGUGAAGUCCCAUGCGGAUGGAGCAUAGAGUGGUCGCAGAGAAGAGGCCCAAGCGACUGUUUACCAUAAACACAGGUGCCUGCUAAAGCGAAAGCUGACGUAUAGGUGCUGACACCUGCCCAGUGCCGGAAGGUUAAGGAAGGAUGUUCGGAGUAAUCCAAAGCAUUCGACUGAAGCCCCGGUGAACGGCGGCCGUAACUAUAACGGUCCUAAGGUAGCGAAAUUCCUUGUCGGGUAAG